rnacentral:rRNA from 1 species
AACUGAUUAGAAGCUUGCUUCUAUGACGUUAGCGGCGGACGGGUGAGUAACACGUGGGCAACCUGCCUGUAGGACUGGGAUAACUCCGGGAAACCGGAGCUAAUACCAGAUAACAUUUUCUCUUGCAUAAGAGAAAAUUGAAAGAUGGUUUCGGCUAUCACUUACAGAUGGGCCCGCGGUGCAUUAGCUAGUUGGUGAGGUAACGGCUCACCAAGGCAACGAUGCAUAGCCGACCUGAGAGGGUGAUCGGCCACACUGGGACUGAGACACGGCCCAGACUCCUACGGGAGGCAGCAGUAGGGAAUCUUCCGCAAUGGACGAAAGUCUGACGGAGCAACGCCGCGUGAGUGAUGAAGGCUUUCGGGUCGUAAAACUCUGUUGUUAGGGAAGAACAAGUACAAGAGUAACUGCUUGUACCUUGACGGUACCUAACCAGAAAGCCACGGCUAACUACGUGCCAGCAGCCGCGGUAAUACGCAGGUGGCAAGCGUUAUCCGGAAUUAUUGGGCGUAAAGCGCGCGCAGGCGGUUUCCUAAGUCUGAUGUGAAAGCCCACGGCUCAACCGUGGAGGGUCAUUGGAAACUGGGGAACUUGAGUGCAGAAGAGAAAAGCGGAAUUCCACGUGUAGCGGUGAAAUGCGUAGAGAUGUGGAGGAACACCAGUGGCGAAGGCGGCUUUUUGGUCUGUAACUGACGCUGAGGCGCGAAAGC